GUGCUCACUUGUGCAGCACAUAUACCAAAAUUGGAAUGACACAGAGAAGAUUAGCAUAGCCCCUGCACAAGGAUGACAUGCAAAUGGGUGAAGUGUUCCAUAUUAAA